rnacentral:lncRNA from 1 species
UUUUAUUUAGUUUAAAUGAGUUUGAAACGUUAUAAAUCAUAGUACGAUGAAUUAUUUUAAGUUGUCUCCAUUUACUCGACUUUAGAUAUUUUAGAUGAUGUUUGUUUACUCACUGAGUUUAUAUAAACUCACCACCCUCCUUUCCACUCAUUCCAAGAUCAGGACAGUCCGUAAAUAGCUGAUUACGUCUAGGGUUAUUAUU